rnacentral:rRNA from 1 species
GACGAACGCUGGCGGCGUGCUUAACACAUGCAAGUCGAACGGAAAGGCCCUGCUUUUGUGGGGUGCUCGAGUGGCGAACGGGUGAGUAACACGUGAGUAACCUGCCCUUGACUUUGGGAUAACUUCAGGAAACUGGGGCUAAUACCGGAUAGGAGCUCCUGCUGCAUGGUGGGGGUUGGAAAGUUGGGGCGGUUGGGGAUGGACUCGCGGCUUAUCAGCUUGUUGGUGGGGUAGUGGCUUACCAAGGCUUUGACGGGUAGCCGGCCUGAGAGGGUGACCGGACACACUGGGACUGAGAUAAGGCCCAGACUACUAUGGGAGGCAGCAGUGGGGAAUAUUGCACAAUGGGCGGAAGCCUGCUGCAGCAACGCCGCGUGCGGGAUGACGGCCUUCGGGUUGUAAACCGCUUUCGCCUGUGACGAAGCGUGAGUGACGGUAAUGGGUAAAGAAGCACCGGCUAACUACGUG